GACGAACGCUGGCGGCGUGCUUAACACAUGCAAGUCGAGCGGAAAGGCCUUUCGGGGUACUCGAGCGGCGAACGGGUGAGUAACACGUGAGUAAUCUGCCCUUGGCUUUGGGAUAACUACCGGAAACGGUGGCUAAUACCGGAUACGACCAAUCCCUGCAUGGGGUGUUGGUGGAAAGUUUUUUCGGCCAGGGAUGUGCUCGCGGCCUAUCAGCUUGUUGGUGGGGUAAUGGCCUACCAAGGCUUCGACGGGUAGCCGGCCUGAGAGGGUGACCGGCCACACUGGGACUGAGACACGGCCCAGACUCCUACGGGAGGCAGCAGUGGGGAAUAUUGGACAAUGGGCGGAAGCCUGAUCCAGCAACGCCGCGUGAGGGAUGACGGCCUUCGGGUUGUAAACCUCUUUCAGUACCGACGAAGCGCCGAUGAUGGUGGUGACGGUAGGUACAGAAGAAGCACCGGCCAACUACGUGCCAGCCGCCGCCGUAACAC
rnacentral:rRNA from 1 species